GCUUACGGCCACACCGCCUAGUUCACGCCCAAUCUCGUUUGAUCUCGGAAGCUAAGAUACGUUGGGCCUGGUUAGUACUUGGAUGGGAGACCGCCUCGGAAUACCAGGUGCUGUAAGCU
rnacentral:rRNA from 1 species